GACGAACGCUGGCGGCGUGCUUAACACAUGCAAGUCGAACGGAAAGGCCCUGCUUUUGUGGGGUGCUCGAGUGGCGAACGGGUGAGUAACACGUGAGUAACCUGCCCUUGACUUUGGGAUAACUUCAGGAAACUGGGGCUAAUACCGGAUAGGAGCUCCUGCUGCAUGGUGGGGGUUGGAAAGUUUCGGCGGUUGGGGAUGGACUCGCGGCUUAUCAGCUUGUUGGUGGGGUAGUGGCUUACCAAGGCUUUGACGGGUAGCCGGCCUGAGAGGGUGACCGGCGACAUUGGGACUGAGAUACGGCCCAGACUCCUACGGGAGGCAGCAGUGGGGAAUAUUGCACAAUGGGAGGAAGCCUGAUGCAGAAACGCCGCGUGCGGGAUGACGGCAUUCGGGUUGUAAACAGAUUUAGCAUGUGACGAAGCGUGAGUGACGGUAAUGGGUAAAGAAGCACCGGCUAACUACGUG
rnacentral:rRNA from 1 species